UGUUCUGUGCUCUCCUUCUCUGCUCUCCUUCUCUGCUCUCUUCACAUUCUGAUCAAACCCUCCAUGUAUUAACAUGUACCUCCUUAUUACAAUGCAAAACUUUCAUUUAAUCCAGAUAUCCUUGGCCUGACGAGUAGCCUGUGGUAUACACCUCGCUUGGACAUUUAUCACUUCGAGAUUCUGCUUGUAUUGAAACACAUGUAGCCUGGAUCUUAUUCUACUCCAUUCUAUAAGUUUUGUGUGUGUGUGUGUGUGUGUGAAAGGCAAAUUGUGUGUGAACAGCUAUGUUACAUGGCAGUGAAACAUGGACUGUAACAGUUGAAGACAUGCAUAGUGUUGAAUGAAAUGAAGCUAGUAUGCUUCACUGGAUGUGCAAUAUCCAUGUGCAUGUUCGACAGAGUGUAAGCAUUUGAGAGGAAAGUUAGGCAUAAGAGGCAUCAGAUAUGGUGUACAAGAGAGAUGACUGUGCUGGUAUGGUCAUGUGAUGCAUAUAGAUGAGGACAAAUGUGUAAACAAGUGCCGGUUUCUAACUAUGGAUGGAACCUGUGGUAGAGGUAGACCCAGGAAGACAUGGGACAAGGUUGUGAAGCAUGAGCUUCAAACUUUGAGCCUCACAGAGGCAAUGAGUAGUGAUUGAGACCUUUGGCAAUGUCCUGCGCUUGAAAGGACAUAUGAAGCCAAGUGAAAUCAUGGUUGUAGUUGAUGCUGGUGUCACAUAACUGGCACACGUGCCAACCUUUCAAGUGUUGGGCCUCACAGAAGUAAUGACAGAGAGCUUUGGCAUUAUGUCAUGCUUAAAAAGAAGAGCCAUCAAGCCAAGUAAAAUUGCAUUCGUGGCAGAUACUGGUGUCCUGCAAAUGGCACCCAUGCUGGUAGCACGUAAAAGCACUCAUUACACUCUUGGAGGGGUUGGCAUUAGGGAAGGCAUCCAGCUAUAGAAAACCAUGCCAAAUCAGACUGGAGUCUAGUGCAGCUUUCCAGCCCUGGUCAAACUGUCCAACCCAUGCCAGCUUGGACAACAGACGCUAAAUGAUGAUGAUGAUGAUGAUGAUAUAUAUAUCAUCACUAUCAUCAUCAUUGUCGUUUAACAACUUUUUUUCCUGCUGGCAUGGGUUGGAUGGUCUGACCAGGGCUAGUGAGAAAGAAGACUGCACCAAACAUCUGUGUCUGUUUUGACAUGGUUUUUAUGUCUGGAUGCUCUUCCUAACUCUGACCACCCCCACAGAUUGGAUUGACUGCUUUUUAUGUGACACCAGCACAAGCAAAGUCAGUUUUGGCAAGGUUUUUACAGCUGGAUGCCCUUCCAAAUGGCAACCACUUUACAGUGUGAACUGGAUGCUUUUUAAGUGGCACCGGCACUGACAGGGUCAUCAAGUACCUUGCAAAACAAGAAUCCCUUGAGAAGGGUGGGGAAUUGGAGGAGGGGUUCUUGUGUCAAAUGAUGAAAUGUUAGAGAGACAGGAACAUGUACCUUGCUGUAGAGGAGGCACAAGAUUACCUGACCUGAGAGAUAGGGGAAGAGAGAGAGAGAGAGAGAGGUAACAAGAAAUAGAACAGAAACAGGUGUACUGCUGUAAAGGAGAGGUGUUUAUAUAUAUAUAUAUAUUGCUAUUUGUUUAUUUUCAGCAACCUCAUCACCAAACCCAUUCCUUCCUGGUUCACAGCAGCAACCAACCUCUAUGACACCCAGAACAAUUGUGGCAUCUGGAGAACAUCCUUGCAUUAAAAUAAGCUUAACAAUUGAUUCAAUUUCUAAUGCAUCUUUUACAGAUAAAAUCAAUUACAGAACUCAGUGGUUCUUUGGCCGCUUCUAUCAUUAAUAACUGAUAAAAGGCACCUACAAUAACAGGAACAGUUUUGGUUUUAAGAUGGCACUACCAGUUCAAGAUAAACUCUUCAGGUCAGACAGGCUUGUCUGAGGUGCAUGCAGAGAGGCAAAACCAUUCUGCAUGCUCUCGUUUAGUGUCCAGGCAUUGCUGACUUAUGGAGUUAUGUUGAACAGCUGCUGUCACGUGUGGGAUGGAUCCGUCUGUUGUCUGAGUCUGUAGUGAUGAUUGCACUGCCAUCCCAUUUCAAUCAGGCAAGUAAGGCAAUUUUCCUUUGCCUGGUGGCUAUGGCAAAAGUGGUUGUUUAAUGGGCAAGGUUGAAAGGCCUGAGGACAGAUACAUUCCUCUUUGGUAGAACUCUCAUUGACUUCCUCAAGUUUCACUUGAAAAGGAAAUUGAGGGUGGAGAGGGAAGUGCUGUCCUCGAGUGUGUUUAUUGAAAGGUGGCUGAAAGUUCCAAAAAUGGCAAGAGUGGAUGGUGUAGACCUGUGAGGUGGAGAGGGCACUUGCUCCCAGGGUUUCAUGGAAAUCUCGGACAGUGGGGUUCCUCGAUUAUCCCUAGAGGCCUUCCUGUAUCAUCCUUCCUGCCACUUUUUUUCUAAACCCUUGUAUGCUAUGCAUUUGUCCCUUCUUUUCCAGUGUAGACCAUGUAUACUUAAUAAUCUUUCUUUCUUUCCUUUUUUAUCAUUUCAUUCUAUGUAAACCCCAGCACUUUAUGUCUGUCUUUGUAUUACUCCCCUCAUCCUUCACACUUGUGGCAAAUAAAUGAAAGAAUUAUUAUUAUUAUUAAGACCAAAGUUGUUAGUAAGAAGGAAGAUAAAACUCUCUUUGUUUCAGGUAAAUGGCCCUGCUCCAUAUGUAAGGCCAAAGGAGUUGGAAGAAAUUCCAUGUGCUGCAUCCAGUGUAAACUAUGGGCAGUGGAAUCACAGGUAGAUUAAGAGAUAAAGUUGUCUUUGUAUGUGGCAGAUGUGCAGGAACAAUAAGCAAUAAGAGCACACAGGAACUAGAUUCUCUCAAAUGCCCAGGAGGUUCUCCUGAGGUUGUAGAUAGUUUCUGUUACCUAGGUGACCGAAUUAGUAAUGGUGGAGGAUGCUCUGAAAAUAUUGCUUCUAGAAUAAGAAUUGGGUGGAGGAAGUUCAGAGAGCCAUUACCUCUGUUGCCAACAAAAGGCCUCUCUCUCUCUCAGAGUGAAAGGUAGACUCUAUGAUGCUUGUGUUUGAACGGCUAUAUGUCAUGGCAGUGAGAUGGACUCUGUAUGCAUAAGAAAUGUGUUGACUGGAAAGAAAUUAUACUCCGUUGGAUGGGCAACAUCAGUGUGCAUAUGCAACAAAGUGCAAAUGUAUUGAGAGAAAAGUUGGGCCUAAGAGUCAAAUGUAGCUUGCAAGAGAGAAGACUGCAUUGGUUUGGACAUGUGAUGUGUAUGAAUGAGGACAGCUGCAUAAAGAAGUGCCAAUCACUGAAAGUGGACGGUGUCCAUGGAAGAGGGAGACCCUAGUUCUUCUGUCUAGCUUUGCUAUUUCACUUUUUGUCACAAAAGCUGCUAAGUAAAGAUACUGGCCAAGUAUUUACAACUUUCACUAGAUUCAGACCAUUUAGCUUUGACUUCAUUGGGUUCCUCACCCUUCUCAGUUUUUGUUUUCAUUUCUGUUGUUAGUUCCCUGUCAGAUCCUAAUACUCCGAGAUAGCUAUAACUCUCUCUUUCUUUUAAUGAUUUUUUUAUGUCUGGCCAUUUAGUAAUUGGAUGCCUUCUGGUCCUGGUCCCUUCCAAUUUAGCAUUCUUCCUAACACUUUACUCAUUAAUGCACUAGAUAAUCUUAGAUCUGGCUACUUCUUCCUUUGUUUUCUUUAACUACCCUGCAUCUCCUUUUGAUUGUCUGGCUUAUACCAAAUAUUAGUCCAGAACAUUCUAGCUUCUUCUGCAUUAGGGUCCUCAUCUUCAGUACUUUCUUCUCCUCUAUUUAUUUGGUUGUAAGAUCUCUUCUGGUCUGUCUCGAGUCAUUUAUUCUGUUGAUACUGAUCUGUUGUUUUCUGAUAUCUGGAGAGCUUGCCUGCUAUUUCUGUUACACACUGUUUCAACUCUUCUAUUACUGUCCCAAAUCCUUUCUCUCUGACUAAGUAUCUUUUCUCAAGAGAUUUGAAUCUUGUGUUUCCUAUCUUGUUCAGUUUCCAGGGUUUCUAUUCUACUCAGAUCUUGUCUUAAAGUCUUCUCCUUAUUUUGUAAUUUCCUUUUUCACACUUGCCUUUUUCUAAUCUUUUCUAGUGAGAUAUCUAAUCUUCUAGUAACUACUUCCCCUCCUGCAGAGAUCAAUAAGUUAGUGCCUUCUGUAUUUUUAGUAUCCAUCCUGCUGAUAACAGAAUCUACUUUCCUAGUCGUAUCUAGCAACAUCCUUCUAUCGGUACCUUUUAAUCCUGGCAAUCUUUUUCUUACUUCUUCUCUCAUUACUUCCUGUAACUCAUCUAAAAUCUUCUGAUCUUCCUCACUUAAAUCACUUAAGUCACUGGUGCCAGUUGUCCCUUUCUUAUUGUUAUUUUUUCCUUUAGCUUCUUCUUUGGUUUGAGAUGUAUCUCUUAUCUUUUAUGCUCUUGUUUGUCUUUCCUACUGCCUGGUCUUUCUUUUCCAGUUCUCUUGUGAUCUCUUCCACCUCCAAUUCCACUUUCUUUUCCUAUUAUCAUUAGCUUGAUCAACUAACUUCUGCUCAGUCACUUUAAACAUGCCCUUCUCUAUCCAAAGUAUUAACAUCCAUUUUCUAUAGCCCCUUCUUUUAGGUGCACUUUCUAAGUAGCACUACAUCACUACCCUGUUUUCUUUGCUGAUGCUGUCUUAGGAUAAGAGCUGUGGUUAAUCUGCAUCUUUACUAAACCACUACCAAGCAAGAGGCCUUCCCCUGAAGGUCCAACCUCAUUUUUACUGUUACAACCAGAGUUUCUACACAAACUCCUGUCUCUUAUAAACUGGGGUAAUGCAUUGCUCAUCAACAUCAUCAUCAUCAUUACUAGUACCAUUUGACAUCUGAUAGUUUCAAGUAAGUUUUUAUCGCAUCACUUGUAACAUUUUUUGUGCUGCAGAGGUGUGUGCAGCAUUGUGUUGUUGUUUUUUUUUGUCAAUGAGGGGGGGGGGGUAUUGCCUCAGUAUGUUUUGUUAUGGGGUUUGGACUAAGUCUUUUCUUGUAUUAGUGUUUGUAUUGUGUGUUGUGUGUGUAGUGUAGUUGUGUUCUUCUGAUGGUUACUGGGCCUCUUUUGUACAUGUUGGGCUUUGUUCAUUUUAUUGCACAUUUCUUGUAUGAGUUCAUUCCUGUGUGCUUUCGGGGAGUGUUGCAUUCGGGAAUAUGACUUAUAUCGUUUCAAUGGAGUCAUCGUCAUCUGUCCAUCAUUCUCUUCUGGUUUUGUUAAUCAUUUGGGCCGUGACUUCUGCACUGUCUGCAAAGAAGUGUGUGAUCUUGCAUUUUCAUAAUGAAAGAGAAUGCCCUUACUAUUAUUAGCAAGUGCUGGAUGUUUCUGAGGGAUCACCACCUUUAAUUUGUCCAUCUUGUCACAGUACACACCCAAACUGAUGGUCCUGUCCAUGGGAAGAAACUUCCUUCCAAUCCCACCAAAUUGUAAGUAUAACCUUCUUCGAGUGAACCCCUGCUUUGGAGGUUGGUUCUGGCAAUUCUUCACACUUCUCCCAUGAUUGUUUGUGCUUCACAUUGUUAUAGAUCACAGGUGUCAAACUGCAGGACCGUGGGCCACAUCUGGCCCGACACAUAAUUCUAUCCAAUCUGCGAGAGAAUUUUAGGCAUUUUGUAAUGGCUCCGGCAAUAUGAAAUGCAAACCACAAUUUCCCCAAUUUAGCAGCCUUGUUCAACGAAAGGCUGCCUGAGAGCCUUCUUGCAUCUAUCAGAACAAGUUAAAUGACAGUUGUGUAGUGCAUGAAUGUUUGUUAUCACAGUAACCUAGCAACAGGAUGUUGCUAGUUUUGGAUUGGUGCAUAAGAGAUGAAAGUAGUGUUGUGCCCAGAUAUUGCAUCACUCCUCCCCGCUUAUGCCAUAUCAAGCGCCUGUCUGUAGAUGCACGGUCUUAAUUUUAAAUCAAAGCCAAGAGAAAAGUUGAUUCUGAAAACAGGGCCUUCCAAAGCACUGGGAGGCUCAAUAUAUAUUUACCAAUAUUGGCUGUAAACCUGUGUGUCUGAUAUGUGGAGAUAAUGUGGCUGUGAUCAAGGAAUAUAAUCUAAGACAGCACUACAAGACUAAUCAUUGAGACAAAUUGCAAACUUUGAAUGCAGAACAGAAGCUAUAGAAGGUAGAAGGAAAGUAAUUUUGAGCUGUUUUACAACCCAUUUGCCAUCGACAUGGAAACUGCACCUGUUCAUUUUCAGAUGGAGCCCAUAGAGCUGUAGUGUAAUGGGGUGCAAAAGGCAUAGUAUGACAGUGAGGGGCCUGCACAGUUCACUCGUUUCAUUCCUAAAGAGACGCCCCAGCUUCGUCUACAUGCGGCUCAAAUCUUUAGCAUGUUUGGUAGCAGACAUCUGUGUGAACAGCUGUUCUCUGUGAUGAAGAUUAACAAAACAUCACACAGGAGUUGUCUCCCUGAUGAACAGCUUCUGUCCAUCCUGAGAAUCUCCGCAGCAUAGAACCUUAUUCCAUAAUAUAAACAAACUUGUUGCCAAAAAAUGAUGUCAAACAUCCAGCCCUAACAAACUGGAAUAAGAGCAAAAAUUGGUAUCCUUUCAUUUAAUAUUAUUUUAACUUUUGUCUGUUUUAACUCAAUGUUUAAAAAAGGUUUAGUUUCCCACUGUUUUAUGAAUGUUUAUCCAGUUUGGCCCACAACCUUAAAUGUGGUUUUAGAGUUUUGAUCCCCUACGUGAUUGACUUUGACACCCCUAUUAUAGACCAUCCAUUUUUUUUUGGGGUCUCCUGUCAUAAUUUCUAAUUUCUCAUUUGAUAAGAGGGAUAGAAUGGAAUGGAAAUCCUUUUUUUCCCCUUCUGGAGCAUAGGGCCAGUUUCCCGGUUUCCAUGGCAUAUGUGUUCCUGCCUAGCUGGACGGGACGCCAGUCCAUCGCAGCUUUUUAUUCAAGAAACAGGAAGAAAGAGUGAGAGAAAGUUGGGGCGAAAGAGUACAACAGGGGUCACCACCACCCUCUGCUAGAGCCUCGUGGAGCUUUUAGGUGUUUUCUCUCAAUAAACACACACAACGCUCAGUCUGGCAAUCGAAACACCGAUCCUCCGACCGUGAGUCCGCUGCCCUAACCACUGAGCCAUUGCGCCUCCACGAUAAGGGGGAUAUAACAUGAUAUUUUGAUUAAUGUUUUAAUUACUGAUUUGAACAUCAUAUGGUUGUAUCCUUAACAACAUUCUUUGCAGUCUUGGAGGUGCUUGUACAGUGUUUUUGCUUUCUCUAUUUUCCAAUUCCUUGUGGUCUGAUUCGGUUUGGAACUUUUUCUCAUUCACAUAUGGAUGAAAUUUUUCCCAACCAAACUAUUUCCUUCCAUCUGCCAACUGGAAUUCAGUUGGUGAAAUUUUUAUAUUGUACAACAGAAAAAUAAUCUAUUUUCAUAAGUUUUAAGAUAGUUGUGUUACAAAAUAUCAUCACCAUCAUCAUCCUUUAACAUCCAUUGUCCAUGCUGGCAUGGGUUGGACGGUUUGACCAGGGCUGGUAAGUUUGAAGGCCUUCACCAGCCCCCAGUCUGAUUUGGCAUGUUUUCUACAGCUGGAUGCCCUUCCUAACACCAACCACUCCGAGAGUGUAAUGGGUGCUUUUACAUGCCACUAGCAUGGGUGCCAUUUGUGUGACACUGGUAUCUGCCAUGACUGUGAUUUUGCUCAGUGUGAUGGGUCUUCUGAAGCAUGACAUAAUGCCAAAGGUCUUGGUCAUUGCCUCCCUCAGACCCAACGCUCAAAAGGAACUCAGCCACCCUGCCUCCAUGAGGCCCAACGCUCAAAAGGAACUCAGUCAC